ensembl:snoRNA SNORD16 Small nucleolar RNA SNORD16
UGCCAUGAUGGUGUAAUUUGCGUCUGACUCUGUAACCAGUGACAGUUGCCUGCUGUCUUAUGCUGGUGCAGAGGGUUGACGACAACUAAGGCUGAGCA